CGCAGCCCUGUCAAAUUCGGUCCCAGCCUCUCGGUGGCGGGGACCGGCCAGCCGGCUGCCACAGCGACUUCUGUCGUCCAUGGGCCCCGCGUCCCCUCCCCGUGGGACGCUGGGGAUAAAAUCGUGCCACAGACACGU